rnacentral:lncRNA from 1 species
GAUUUAAAAGCAGGUUCUACAAUAAGAAAUCAACUACUACAACUGUGAAAGAGGUGCUUAAAUUACAAACUACCAAUACUAACAACACCUCUCCUAUACACAAACAGUUAACAAAAGGUGCUACAGCACUAACAAAAGGUGCUACAACACCAACACUAACAAUUCAUUUGGUAUACACAAAUAGCUUUUUGCUAACUCCAUAAGACAGAGUUUUGCUAACUUCUCUGUCGUUGUCUCCAGUUGAGGCUUUUAGUUUAAUGAAAGUAUACAACCACAAAGUAUACAUCCUUCUUCAGCUGCAAACUUCAACUCUACAACCAACAAUCCAAGUUUGUCUAAGCUUGAAUUCAAUCGGGUCAACUAUGCUAAUUGAGUCACAACUCCAAGCCUACAAACCACAAAGCCAAAUAUUCAUCACACAUUCAGAACAGAAGAAAACAAAAAUUGAUAGAAAACUCAGAACAACAGAAGAACAUCCUUUGCAACUAACAUACAGAACGGAAGAACAAAAUAGAACUUACUAAUACUUUAACCGAAGCUAAACUGUCAUACUUUGUUAAGGCUUCUGACGAAGCUAAGCAGGUGGAGAAUCGAGAACGAACUAGAUAUAUGACACAUUUUCAGUUACUCGAAGAAGGAGAGAUUUUCGAAUGCGAGAAUGCUGUGACAGUGGGGGUAACAGGAGUUACGGGAGUUACGGGGAAGAUGAGCGGGGAAGAAGAAAGGGGAAUAGGAGAUGAGAGGGGAAUAGAAGAGAGGAAAAUAGAAUUACGGUUUAAUUUUGGGAUUUGUGAGUCAGCGUCAUUAAUUAAUGUGGCACACGCUGAGUGGGCAAAACACCGAGAAUAUUCCUACUCAUGCCACGUCGCUACCGUUUGUCGGAAUUUGACCGUUGGGACUAAAUUGAAAUAAUUUUAUAUAUGUUUGUCACAAAAUCGAUUCAAAUUAAAGUCUUGAUAUCAAAUUGAUAUAUAGUAUCACGGAUUGAUACCAGCUGAUCAAAUUACUCCAAAUUUUUGUCUCUAAUAUAAUAAUAUAAAUGAGCAUAGAACAUGCACUGCAGAUGGGCAAGCGCUGUCUGUCUACCUGCUGUCUCCUUCUUCCCGGAAUAUACAGGUAAACACAAAAAGAAAAAUAGUGGAAGAAGAUUCAAAGAAGAAUAUGAAUGGAAGUGGAGGCAGUAAUGCUACUGUUACAUACUGUGUUACUGGUGCAAAUGGGUAUAUAGGAUCUUGGUUGGUCAGGCUUCUUCUUCAGAGAGGCUACC